GCUGGAGUUCCGUUUUACCAAAUGGCUGGGUCUGAAUUUGUUGAAGUGUUGGUUGGUGUUGGUUCUGCUCGUAUCAGGGAUCUAUUCAAGAGAGCCAAGGUCAAUAGACCAUCAGUCAUUUUCAUUGAUGAAAUUGAUGCAUUGGCAACUAGGCGACAAGGGAUUUUCAAGGAAUCCACUGAUCACCUCUAUAAUGCUGCAACUCAGGAAAGAGAAACUACGUUGAACCAGCUCUUGAUAGAGCUUGAUGGAUUUGACACUGGCAAAGGCGUUAUAUUUUCAGAAUUUCCAACCUCC
rnacentral:misc_RNA from 1 species